rnacentral:lncRNA from 1 species
AUCCAUUUCUACUCUCUCCCUUGCAAUCUUUCCCUCUCUCUUUAAAUUUCUAGCUUUUUAUUACUAUUUCACUAAUAAUAAUAAAGUCAUGCCCUGUUUUAAGUGUUGUAACCCUUGAUCACUGAUACCCUGUCCAACUGACAUAGGGCCCCGUAACAAAUGUCAAGGCUCUGCCUAAAUUUGUUGGGGUUCUGUCUCGUGACGUAGGGAUAAAGUUAAAUUGGGCUACUAUACUUAAUUUGAGUACACUAUAUAUUUUAUUAAAUAAUCCAGGAGUUAUACCAAGAUAUAUCAACCCUCCAAAAAUAUUUUAGACACCCGCAAAUGUCCUAAAUACACCCCGUAUAUGUAAAACGGUCCCGAAAUAACUUUAUAUAAUUAAAAAUAAAAUAAAAGUCAGUUUUAUAGUCUCUCGCGGGCCGCGAAGACUUGGUCUUCAUCUUACGCGGGCCGCGAGCGAGAAGAUAAGUGGCGCAGCCCAGGAGCCGCCACGUGGCAGUACACGCGUCAGAACCCGGGUGACUCAGCAACACCGCCGCCGCCCUACCAUUUCUCGCGGGCCGCGUAGCCCUUAGCUACGUCUUACGUUGGCCGCGUAAAAGUCGAAAAUCAGCCCUAUAAGUAGCAGGCAACGGCAGUUCCUUCAAAUCAUUCAAAAUUACUUUCUCUCUCUCGAAAUUCUUAAAGGAUAGGCACUAUACUCGGGUAUUAUACCCCCUAAAUAGCGAAGCUCUGCCUCGUUGUAAGUAUCAUAACCCCUGGAUACGUAUUAGAUACUCUGCCCGAUUAAUCUAGGGUUCUGUAACGGCUGUCGUGGUUCUGCCCGACGUAGUCGUUGGAAUGCCGUCUCGGGGAGGAUUAUAACCAGGAAGUCACACAGGAAAGCCCUAUAAUAGCAAUGUAACUUGGUGGGAAGCCAAUAAAAGCCAGCUGGAGAGCACUGAAGGCUUAGAAAAGUGGCAAUAAAAGUUACCUAAUUAAAAAUGAGAAUUGUUUUCAAUAAUUGGGAUCAUCCCCUAUAGAUGUAUCAAAAUGAAAAUCGGGUUUUGUCCCACUUAUAAAUGUGUUAC